GACGAACGCUGGCGGCGUGCUUAACACAUGCAAGUCGAACGGUAAGGCCCUUCGGGGUACACGAGUGGCGAACGGGUGAGUAACACGUGGGCAACCUGCCCCAGAGAGCGGGACAACCCGGGGAAACCCGGGCUAAUACCGCAUGAUGCGUCUCCACUUAAGUGGAGCCGCCAAAUGGUAGCUUCGGCCUCCGCUCUGGGAUGGGCCCGCGCCGGAUUAGCUAGUUGGUUGGGGUAACGGCCCACCAAGGCGACGAUCCGUAGCUGGUCUGAGAGGACGAGAAGCCACACGGGGACGGAGACACGGCCCAGACUCCUACGGGAGGCAGCAGUGGGGAAUCUUGCGCAAUGGGCGAAAGCCUGACGCAGCAACGCCGCGUGGGGGAAGAAGGCCUUCGGGUUGUAAACCUCUUUCAGUAGGGACGAAGCUUCCGGGGUUAAUAGCCUACGGGGUGACGGUACCUACAGAAGAAGCCCCGGCUAACUACGUGCCAGCAGCCGCAGUAA
rnacentral:rRNA from 1 species